UUUUGUAUGGGCCGCCGGGGACUGGGAAAUCCACCAUGAUCGCCGCCAUGGCCAAUCUUUUGGAGUAUGAUCUUUAUGACCUCGAGCUGACCGCGGUUAAGGACAACACCGAGCUGAGGAGGCUGCUGAUUGAGACGACAAGUAAGUCGAUUAUUGUGAUUGAGGACAUCGAUUGUUCGCUUGAUCUCACGGGGCAGAGGAAGCAGAGGAAGGAGAAAGGGGAGGAGCAGGGGGAAGGGAGGGAUCCGAAGGAGAAGAUGGGGAAGGAGGAUGGGGAGGCGAAACCGAGCCAGGUUACUCUUUCCGGGCUGCUGAAUUUCAUCGACGGGCUGUGGUCAGCGUGCCGCGGAGAGAGGCUCAUUGUGUUCACAACGAACUACGUGGAGAAGCUUGAUGCUGCAUUGAUCAGGAAAGGAAGGAUGGAUAAGCACAU
rnacentral:lncRNA from 1 species